rnacentral:pre_miRNA from 1 species
AAUAAGACAAACCCUGGUUUCCGUGCCCAACGUUUGACCGUCCGUCUUAUUUAAAAAAAUUAUGAAAAAAAUUAAAAAGACAAGUCACACAUAAAAUAUUAAUCAUGUUUUAUCAUCUAACAACAAUGAAAAUACGAAUUAUAAAAAAAAUUUAUAUAAGACGGACAGUCAAAGUUGGACACGGAAACUCAGGGUUUGCCUUUUU